AUGACCGGCUUGCUCAGGAAGUUGGUUGAGGGGUGGACGUCUCUUAGUGGCUCUGACAGUGACGUGGUUGCGAGGCAGUUCACUUCAUUUGUCCCAGAACGGACACAUCGGCCAACUGGUUGCCGUGGCCGGUAUGACUACAACAGUUCCCAAGAGCUUGCUGACACACAAGAUGAACUAGAUGGAGACGCUGGUCUCAGCAAGGAUGACGACGAUGACAUGGAGAACGCGGAAGAGGACACCGAUGAUGAUGAACAUGCUGAAGUUCGUGCAGGUGCUAACAAGGGGAAGGAUGCACCAGAUGUCCCCCCACCGGAGAAAUUCAAAGAACAUACGGCUGCGAGAGGCGAGGGGGUGUUACCAUCAAAGAGGGGAGGGCUCCAUAGGAUGUUGGGCAGGGUUCUCCUGACAAGAGGUCUAGGACUGAUCCCGUGGCUACCAGGAGGAGGGAGGCGACAACUGGUGGACGAGCAGUUACGAAGAAACAGGCACCAACGGCAACCCGUGCUUCUGCUCGGUUGA
rnacentral:rRNA from 1 species